rnacentral:rRNA from 1 species
UACGAAGGAUGCAAGCGUUAUCCGGAUUCAUUGGGUUUAAAGGGCGCGUAGGCGGCCCUGUAAGUCAGUGGUGAAAUCUUUGGGCUUAACCCAAAAAUUGCCAUUGAUACUGCAGGGCUUGAGUACAGUUGCUGUGGGCGGAAUAUGACAUGUAGUGGUGAAAUACAUAGAGAUGUCAUAGAACACCGAUUGCGAAGGCAGCUCACAAAACUGUAACUGACGCUGAGGCUCGAAAGUGCGGGGAUCAAACAGG